ACGUAGGUGGCAAGCGUUGUACGGAUUUACUGGGCGUAAAGAGCGCGCAGGCGGUCGUUCAAGUCGCGUGUGAAAGCCCCCGGCUCAACUGGGGAGGGUCACGCGAUACUGAUCGACUCGAAGGCAGGAGAGGGUAGUGGAAUUCCCGGUGUAGUGGUGAAAUGCGUAGAUAUCGGGAGGAACACCAGUGGCGAAGGCGACUACCUGGCCUGUUCUUGACGCUGAGGCGCGAAAGCUAGGGGAGCAAACGGG
rnacentral:rRNA from 1 species